GGUAUUUUGACCGUGCUAAGGUAGCAUAAUCAAUUGUUUUUUAAUUGAAAACUAGUAUGAACGGUUUAAUUUACUUAAUUAGUUUGUAAUUUUUAAUAGUAAGUUAAAUAUAAAGUAAGAAUUCUUUAAUAAAUUAGGGGACGAUAAGACCCUAAAAGCUUUAUGAUUGGCAUUUAAUUAGUGAUAGCGGUGUUAUUAAUUCACUGGGGCAGUGAGUUUAGGUAUAUUUAAGUAUAAUUAAAAGCUCCUUUAAAUAAAGAUUUCAUGUAUAAGUUACUUUAGGGAUAACAGUGCAAUAUAUU
rnacentral:rRNA from 1 species